AUUGAACGCUGGCGGCAGGCCUAACACAUGCAAGUCGAACGGUAACAGGAAACAGCUUGCUGUUUCGCUGACGAAUGGCGGACGGGUGAGUAAUGUCUGGGAAACUGCCUGAUGGAGGGGGAUAACUACUGGAAACGGUAGCUAAUACCGCAUAACGUCGCAAGACCAAAGAGGGGGACCUUCGGGCCUCUUGCCAUCGGAUGUGCCCAGAUGGGAUUAGCUAGUAGGUGGGGUAACGGCUCACCUAGGCGACGAUCCCUAGCUGGUCUGAGAGGAUGACCAGCCACACUGGAACUGAGACACGGUCCAGACUCCUACGGGAGGCAGCAGUGGGGAAUAUUGCACAAUGGGCGCAAGCCUGAUGCAGCCAUGCCGCGUGUAUGAAGAAGGCCUUCGGGUUGUAAAGUACUUUCAGCGGGGAGGAAGGGAGUAAAGUUAAUACCUUUGCUCAUUGACGUUACCCGCAGAAGAAGCACCGGCUAACUCCGUG
rnacentral:rRNA from 1 species